UUGCGAACUCGCGAGAGUAAGCUAAUCUCUUAAAGCCGUUCUCAGUUCGGACUGUAGGCUGCAACUCGCCUACACGAAGUCGGAAUCGCUAGUAAUCGCGGAUCAGCAUGCCGCGGUGAAUACGUUCCCGGGCCUUGUACACACCGCCCGUCACACCAUGGAAGUUUGCAAUGCCCAAAGUCGGUGGCCUAACCAUUUGGAGGGAACCGCCUAAGGCAGGGCAGAUGACUGGGGUGAAGUCGUAACAAGGUAGC
rnacentral:rRNA from 1 species